rnacentral:rRNA from 1 species
ACACGUGGGCAAUCUGCCCUUCACUCUGGGACAAGCCCUGGAAACGGGGUCUAAUACCGGAUACUGACCCUUGCAGGCAUCUGCGAGGUUCGAAAGGUCCGGCGGUGAAGGAUGAGCCCGCGGCCUAUCAGCUUGUUGGUGAGGUAAUGGCUCACCAAGGCGACGACGGGUAGCCGGCCUGAGAGGGCGACCGGCCACACUGGGACUGAGACACGGCCCAGACUCCUACGGGAGGCAGCAGUGGGGAAUAUUGCACAAUGGGGCGAAAGC